rnacentral:lncRNA from 1 species
AACAGGACAAAAGGGUCAAAAAGGACAACAAGGUCAAACAGGACAACAAGGUCAAACAGAAAACAAGGACAAACAUAGAUCAGUUAUACAGUCUCACUAGGAAAACAGGUCAACAAGGAAAAACAGGACAACAAGGUCAAACAGGACAACAAGGUCAAACAGGACAAUUAACAAGGUCAAACAGGACAAGACUUCAAGAUCAAAUAGGACAGGAAUACUACUUAGGACAACAGCAAGGACAAACAGGGCAAACAUAUACAGGACAAAAAUAACCAAAAGAUCAAAGGAUAAAGGACAAUGAAAAGUUCUAGAA